UUGUGGAGGAGGACGCCGAAGGUGGGGCUGAUGACUGGGGUGAAGUCGUAACAAGGUGGCCGUACCGGAAGGUGCGGCUGGAUCACCUCCUAACAGGGAGACAAAAACUGAUCGUGAUGUCUGAGUUUUUAUCUCAGGCCAUGAUCCUGUCACCUUAGGUCGAUCGGUACCUCAGGUUAAUUGCAAGCAAUGAAUGAUCAAACAUUUCUGAGAUUGUAGAUUGACCUCAGUUCCUAAACUUUGUCUAGGUCACACCCAACAAGGGUACUCCUGGGCCAUUAGCUCAGGUGGUUAGAGCGCACCCCUGAUAAGGGUGAGGUCCCUGGUUCAAGUCCAGGAUGGCCCAUUCCGGUGUUGGGGGUAUAGCUCAGUUGGUAGAGCGCCUGCUUUGCAAGCAGGAUGUCAGCGGUUCGAGUCCGCUUACCUCCACUGAUCAACCUCCUUUUUACCAAAUAAGGAGAUGGCUUUGUUUGAUGUGAUUUAGGAUUGUUCACUGAUGAACCUAGCUUCAUAUCAUUCCUAUCUAAAUUAUUUAGAAUAGGUUGAUACGACGCUGGGCUCUCUUAAUUCGAAAGAGUUAACGAGAAGUUCAGUAGAACCUUGACAACUGCAUAGGUGAGUCUGGAAAGAAUAAAGCAUCUCAUGGAUGCAUUAUUUCUAAAGACUGAUUAUUCUUUCUUUAGGAAUAAUGCUUGAUUCUUGAGUAAGAGCCAAGACUCUAUGAUGGAUGUUAAAUAACAUCUUUUCAUAGGGAUAUAAUGGUCAAGCUACAA
rnacentral:misc_RNA from 1 species